UACAGAGGUCCCGAGCGUUGUUCGGAUUCAUUGGGCGUAAAGGGUGCGUAGGCGGCAUGGCAAGUCGGGUGUGAAAUCCCGGGGCUCAACCCCGGAACUGCAUUCGAUACUGCCGUGCUUGAGUGUUGGAGAGGAGACUGGAAUUUACGGUGUAGCAGUGAAAUGCGUAGAUAUCGUAAGGAAGACCGGUGGCGAAGGCUAGUCUCUGGACAACUACUGACGCUGAGGCACGAAGGCCAGGGGAGCAAACGGG
rnacentral:rRNA from 1 species